GGAACGGGUGAGUAACGCGUGAGGAACCUGCCUCAAAGAGGGGGACAACAGUUGGAAACGACUGCUAAUACCGCAUAAGCCCACGGCUCGGCAUCGAGCAGAGGGAAAAGGAGCAAUCCGCUUUGAGAUGGCCUCGCGUCCGAUUAGCUAGUUGGUGAGGUAACGGCCCACCAAGGCGACGAUCGGUAGCCGGACUGGGAGGUUGAACGGCCACAUUGGGACUGAGACACGGCCCAG
rnacentral:rRNA from 1 species